UACGUAGGGGGCGAGCGUUGUCCGAAGUUACUGGGCGUAAAGCGCGCGUAGGCGGCUUGCUAAGUUUGGGGUGAAAGGUUCAGCGCUCAACGUGAACAGUGCCUUGAAAACUAGCAGGCUUGAGUGUGGCAGAGGAGAAUGGAAUUCCUGGUGUAGCGGUGAAAUGCGUAGAUAUCAGGAGGAACACCGAUGGCGAAGGCAGUUCUCUGGGCUAACACUGACGCUGAGGCGCGAAAGCGUGGGGAGCGAACGGG
rnacentral:rRNA from 1 species